AGCAGCCGCCGCGGUAAUACGUAGGGUGUGAGCGUUGUCCGGAAUUACUGGGCGUAAAGGGCUCGUAGGUGAUUUGUCGCGUCGUCUGUGAAAUUCCGGGGCUUAACUCCGGGCGUGCAGGCGAUACGGGCAUAACUUGAGUACUGUAGGGGUAACUGGAAUUCCUGGUGUAGCGGUGAAAUGCGCAGAUAUCAGGAGGAACACCGAUGGCGAAGGCAGGUUACUGGGCAGUUACUGACGCUGAGGAGCGAAAGCAUGGGUAGCGAACAGGAUUAGAUACCCGCGUAGUCCCUGUCUCUUAUU
rnacentral:rRNA from 1 species